CUGAGAGCGCCCGGCGCUGCAGGCUCUGCCCAGGCUCCCUGCGGCCUUGCACUCAGGCCACAGGGUCCACCCACUGUUCCAGAACCAUCCAUCAGCAGGAGCCGUGGACAAGCAGCUUGGCUCUCAGGGGUCCAGAGCCCUCUUGUCCGUCUAGAGGCAGCUGACUGUCCCUGGCUCCAGGACUCCAGUCCAGAGGAGCGGUGUCAGGAGCCCCGAGAGGGUCUGGAACCACGGCGAGCUCCAAACGAGAAGCUCACGGACACCUCUGCCCAUGUUUCUAGAAUUUGCCAUCAGGCUAGUACCAGGCUGUCAGGUUUGUAAGACCUGCAACGUCACGAGGCUGGUCAGCGCCACUCAGUGGUUCUGGCCCCACCCCCCCCCAGCCAAGUUAAUCCAGAUCCAGCUGGCGCCGGGCGGUUCCAGAGGUCUCCCUCUGCCCAGGGCGGCAGAGGACGCGGCUUUCCGUGCUCGGAGACCUGGCCGGUCGGAGCCGAGGGAGGCCACGUCUCACACUCCUGGGACGCGCACCCCUGCGGACCACCCCGCCCGCCCCGCCAGAUGGUCUCUGCUGCAACUAGUCAACGCCUGGCCAUGGGAACGUGAAAGCCACCACAGACAAUCCGGAAGAACGGGCAUGGUUGUGUCUCAAUAAAACUUUAUUUGUGGAUGCUGAAA